UUUUCUGCGCAUUUCUGCACUAACUCAAAACGUGCAUACGCAUGCUCAGCUGAGCUGGCGUAGGAUUUGAGAGUGCCGUACGCCAACGUCCAUAUUGAUAAAUCUCACCGUGGUUUUGGGUGUACGUUGGAAGUUUGGUGUACGCACUUUUGAUAAAUGAGGGCCAAUAGGCGUACCACAGCCGGGAAACCAAAACCUUUAUGCCACAAAGUGUGCUAAGUAUUGAAUUUUUUUGAUUUGUUACAGGCAUAUUAUAUAUUUGCAGAAAGCUUAGAAUCUCGUUAAUCUAGCCGCAUUAUGCAAUUUAACGUAGCUAUUACGGCGACUAACUCCUAUGCACGUGUUUGAGUAUAGUCAACAUCCACAAAAAUGUCGCUAGUUUGGUGUCUGACGGUAAAUUGUGUACUUGUGUCUUCUUUUGAUUUCUUAUAUUGAUGGUCCCAGAGAUAUAGCCAAGCAUCGUUUUGUUUGAAAAAAUCCGUUUUAAAUUGACAACGAUUACUGUUCUUCAGCGAAAUCCAACUCGAUCAACUCGGCGCAAAACUAUUCAUGAUAUUCAAAACCCUUACUAGGUUUUAAUACAGCAUAAUUGGUAUUUCUGAAAAGAGAGUCUCGAGCAUUUAACCAGCCAUGGUGUAUCCUUCUGCAUGCCCUCUAUGCUUCGUAUGACGUCAACAAAUACAUGCAGUCUGGCAAGGGAUUCAAACUCUACGUAUCGAGUUAUCUGCACAACUAAGAGGAUCAUUUUAGGGCAAAACCAAGCCCAGAUCUAUGAGGCAGCCAGGACACUGACGGUUCCUGCUUCACCAAAACCAAGGAGAGGUGGGGGACAGACUCAUGUACAACAGACAGUCCAAGGCUGGACCAUUACUGGCAACCACCACAGCCAGAGGAGCUGAGCUCUAUGAAGGAGAGGUAACCAUCUUGACUGACUCAUAAGAAGAGGGACACUUGACUUUGGGGUCACAGGGAGGUACAGUACAGACAGCAGUGGACACGCAUUAAACUUGGGACCCCAGAAUGGAUGACAACAAAAUCACAAGGCAUGAAACAGCAGUGUCAGUCUUUAAACCCCUGUAGUUUUUCACAUAUAGCAACUAGGAAGGUUGGAGGAAUGGAGAGGACCACGCUACACAAUGCGUCAACAUCCAUGACUACACCAGUCAGGAGCAAUUCACCAGGACAUGGGGAGAUCAGGGAGCAGAGAGGAGUUGUAUUUUCAUUUACUUCCUUUUUUUCUUGUUUUAUUAUUCAAUUUUAUUUUUGGGUCUAAGCAAAUUUACCAGCAAAGCCCUAUUGUCAAUUUUUGUUCAUUGUUAUUAUACUUCAAGGACAUUGUGGGGUUUAUUAUUUAUUUCAGCUAAUUUGAGAUGUCUGUGAAAUAGCACUUUGUAAAGCACUACCCCUAUAUCAUCAGAAGAUCAGUCUUUACUUAUCUCUUUAUUUAGAACCUAGUGGCCAGUGAACAAUAUCUUUUAAAACUGAUUUAAACAACUUAAAUAGACAGACCACCAAAUUCACUACUUUCAAUUUUUUCCAUUUUCUUAUUUCAAAUCAUAAUUGAUAGUUGUUUUUAAGUUGGUGUGACUUGUGAUCUUUUCUUUUUUGGUUUCUGACAUUUAAGUAAUGGUCCCACCAUCUCUUUAAUAGUUCAGUGUCAUUUUUAGUAUUGUUGUAGCCUGUUUGCUAGGGCCCAGAAGAAUAAUCAAACUGAUGCAGUGUUUUGUCUUGUCCUUUCUCCUAUAAGGACGGUGUGGCAGACCUCUAGCCCAAUGCAUGGAGACGAAUUGAGAACAAUCAUGUGAAGUGAAACCUCCUGCAACUUUUCCCUUUGGCACCUUUUGAGUUCCAGAAACAGAUUUCUGGCAUAACGGACAUUUGUUCUGGAAAGGCGGAAGGCCUGACCACCUUGGUAUAUCUGGAAAAUAUCUCCAGUCCUACGGUGAGACAGAACAACUCUACUUGAAAUUGAACCUUGAGCCUUCUGAGACUGUGUGUACAACAUCAAGACUGCGGCAAAGAGGCCUUUUGGGUCAAUAUCAAUAGACGAGGACAAGAAGACUGUGCCAGGUAAAGGGAGAGGACUGGGGAGUAACUUCACAAUUAAAUUUAGACUUUGACAUGUAUUGGGAUAGAGGUUGUGCUAUAUUAGGUCAAAAUGUAGCGGGAAGUCAAAACUUGUAACUAGAAUGUACUACCUAUUUUAAAAUCCAAUAGGAAUAAUGUUAAAAUUGGGAUGGGUAAAGAUACAUUGAAUGGCUGAAACGAAAAUUCUACCAGAAGAAAAUGGAAAGACUCCGUGGGAAAGCCCAAACUAUUCCUGCCAACCAGGAAAAGAGCGGUAAAGAUAACUGAUCUUCCUUCUGCGAAGGAAGCAACAACUGAUUGACAAUAGGCCUUAGCAGUUGGCCCCAAUGAACAACAUGACAGCUCAAUAUCUUAGGAAAGGACACAUGGAUCCAGGCUAACCUCUUCUGACCAGACCACGACCCUCCAGCACAGGAGUACAUACAUCAUGAGUCCAGCCUGGACUCAAAGAAGGACAAAACUGGCAGACAAUAAGGUGACCUCCUCCUCUGCUGCCUCUAUGAUAGCUGCAACCCUGGUCAGCCUACUGGGGAUUUCUGUGGAGUCUAGAAUCCACAGGGACUGCCAAGGGCGGGCCUGGAAAUUGACUCUGACAGCUGAACCGAACAAUCAAACUGACCAGAUGUCACCACACGUAAACGCACUUACACUGCACCCUUACACUGCACCUCAAUACAUCCACCACUCACCCACACACUCCGAGAACACAUUUUGGGGAAAGCAAUGUCCAAAGGGAGGAAGAAUAGACCUAGUAGGGACAGUUUACACUGUCUCUGGCUUCCACAGUCUCCCCAAAACAGGUCUUUGUCAAAACACCCUAUACUCAUAUAUUCUCCACACCAAUUAUUAGGGAAAAUGGAGGCUCUCUCACCUAUACAUUACAAUUACACGACAGGCUAAAUAUCCCUAACAGGUUUUACACUGUAUGCAUGUCUUUCAUCCUUUCAACUCCAAAAAGGGAGCUAAUCGGGAGCAGGUGCUCUCAUUGGUCGAGGUAACCAGGUGCGAUGGUCCUCCAUCUGUAGGGACUGGGUGGUCCAUAGGUGCAAAGGGAGGACCAACUCUUGUCCCAUCCUUGCCCCAAUUCACAACCCAAUUUAGACCAGAGGUAAUAAGCAGACAAACUAUCUCUGCUCCAUUAGUGAACCAUACUGUUUGCAGGGGGGACAGAAUAGCUCAUAUAGAAUGUCUGUUGACACCUGGGUCCCCUAAGACAACAGUAAGUCUUCUCUCUGCCUCACCAAAAUCUUCUGCCCGAAUAUGUAAAACAGCCUCAUGGGACCAGAGGAAAGCAGCCCUAGUAGGUAACAACUGCCCAGGAAAAGUAACGAUAACCCAUGUGCUUGUGAGAUAGGAAGUUAGAAUUUUAUUCUCUAUAAUUAACCCAUCCAUAUUAAUCAAUGGAACUGUGUUCUACUUCACUCUUUCUACUCCUGAAGGUGCUCGAAACGGGAGUGUCAGGUGAUACGCCCAGGCCAUCAGGUGGUAGUCUAUUCCAAUCUGUAACUGUGCUUUAUUGUAGCCAGCGGUACACACCUGACCUAUCCUGGCUGACCCAUAAGCAGACCUGGGGCACUCGAACAAUGGGUAUGCUACUGCCCAUGUACGGUGAGAUGUAGUCCUGGGAUCAAGUGCGUGCUUUAGCUUUAGAAAUAGAACAUCUUGCUAAUGUGACAGCUAGGACCAGUAAUUUGAUCUCUGAGGAGCUGGGAGCUAAACGCUUGCUUGCUCUCCAGAGCAGGGUAGCGUUAGACUAUCUAUUGGCCGCCCAGGGAGGAACCUGUGCUCUGAUAGGACAGGAAUGCUGUACAUUUGUACUUAAUUACAACUCCACUGUUUCUGACCUAGUUAAUGAAAUGAUUCAAGUUUCCCACCAGGCCCACAAUUAUAACAUCAAAGGACCAUUUUCCUGGAUGGCUGAAUUGUGGGUGCAGUAUUGCUGGGUAGUCAUUAUAGUCAUUGUGGCCAUAGGCCUGUUGGUACUCCUCCUUAUGUGCCAGUUGUCGAGUGGCCCUGAAUGUAUUGUGUUACAAUAAUAAUCAAUUUAGCAUGUAGCUAAAACACAUGCAUUAGUUUAAAACAUCCCAAUGUUUAGAAUUUAUCUACUAAUACUGAUUUACUGAUGCUCACAUAUACUGACUGCCGCACAAGUCCACGCAUAGGCAAAUAUUCACAUAGUUAACCUGGAGUUUUCACGAUGGUAUACAUCAAACCCAGAAGGGGCCUUGGCCCUGUGUGGUGAACCACAGGAUGACUAUGGUGAUGGGCCCUCCCAUUGUAGGAUCCUCCUGUUUCAGUUCUUUGUAUUUAUAUAAUUUGUAUAACCAUAAUAACUGUCUUGAUUGUCAGUGUUUGAUUCAGAUGUAACUUAUUUAAAGUAACUGUGGCCUCCUGGUCCUUAAGAUCCAGGAUGUUUUCUGAUAUAUAAUUGUUCUGAUAAAUGUAAUAAUUUUUUAUAAUUCUCUAUAUGCAUUCUUUUAAUAAAUUAAUUUUAUUGAUAUUGUCCCUGUUGGGACAAAAGGGAGGAAUUGUAAAAGAUGAAUUUAUCACCCUAUUCUUAUUUAUCAAUUUUUCUGCAAAUGAACUGUAAUAAAUGGACUGUUUUAGACUAGGCCUGAAAUUGCUUUAGACUGUUUAUGGUUGCCACAUAUAGAAGAAGAUCUAGGUCAGCAUGCCCUGUUCUUACAAGUGAUUAUGGCCACAACCAAGGCAACCAGGCCUCAAACAUAUCUUAUCUACGUCCCUGUUCAGUUGGCUCCAAGGUAAAGUUGCCUGUGUCUCCUCUAUAUUCCUCCGUUUGUGUAGGAUAGGGACUGGGGGUAGCUCAGAUCAGGAGGUCUGUUAACGCUGACCUAGAAUUAUGGUUGCCAUGGCAGUAUAGGGUUUUAUAUUGUUUUCCUAUUAGUAUGAUGACUUGUUUUGUAUGUAUCUCAUAGCUUUAGUGAUAAUAUGCUGGGGGGCUGACAAGGAGGAGUAUAAAGAGCUAGAAGCAAUAAUGUAUAAUCAGAACAAUUGUUAUGACACUACUCUGUUGGUCUCUGUACUUAAACUCUGUUUUGUGAAAGCGAUUGUUCCCGUGGAUCCACGUAAUUAAACUUGAAAUAAUCAACUGUUA
ensembl:lncRNA